rnacentral:rRNA from 1 species
UGGCGGCGUGCCUAAUACAUGCUAGUCGAACGAGGUGCUUUUGUAGCAAUACGGAAGUAUCCUAGUGGCGAACGGGUGAGUAACGCGUUGGUGACCUACCCCAAAGUGUGGGAUAACAGUCCGAAAGGAUUGCUAAUACCGCAUGUGGUCAUCGGGUUUAGAAACCGAUGUCUAAAGGAGCAAUUCGCUUUGGAGGGACCUGCGUCCCAUCAGCUAGUUGGUGAGGUAACGGCUCACCAAGGCUACGACGGGUAGGGGACCUGAGAGGGUGACCCCCCACAAUGGAACUGAAACACGGUCCAUACACCUACGGGUGGCAGCAGUAGGGAAUAUUGCACAAUGGGCGAAAGCCUGAUACAGCAACGCCGCGUGUGCGAUGAAGGCCUUCGGGUCGUAAAGCUCUUUUCUGAGGGAUGAGCAAGGACAGUACCUCAGGAAUAAGUCUCGGCUAACUACGUGCCAGCAGCCGCGGUAAAACGUAGGAGGCGAGCGUUAUCCGGAUUCACUGGGCGUAAAGCGCGUGCAGGCGGUUCGGUAAGUUGGGUAUGAAAUCUCCUGGCUUAACUAGGAGAGGUUAUUCAAUACUACCGGACUAGAGAGUGGUAGAGGAAGAUGGAAUUCCCGGUGUAGUGGUGAAAUGCGUAGA